CCAACUAUACGUACUGUGUACCUGAUAAAUCCCAUACAUGAUACAGAACGACUCAACAAUCCUGGACAACUCUGUAGGCUUAACUACUGCUACUCAGAUAUGUCAAUCUGAAAUGGCCCUCAGGGCCUAUACCAGGGACUACCAUCUGCUGUGGCUCAAGGGAUUGAAACCCUUUUUAAUCUAUAACACAUCCCACUGGUAUCUCAUUCAAGCCAUGCAUUAAGCCUAAC
rnacentral:lncRNA from 1 species